ensembl:snoRNA LOC120099492 small nucleolar RNA SNORA17
CCCACCCCUAGAAUCAUUGCAGAUGUGGCUGCUGCAUCACAUGUGUGUCAAUAGGUGACAGAGAGAAGAGAGGCUAUGAGUAUUCUCAGUGUUCUGACCUAUGCACAUCUGAAUGAUUAGUAGCUCAACAUU